rfam:Oryza glumipatula chromosome 2, whole genome shotgun sequence.
AAUAAACGUAGCCAUGAGUUUCCAUAUUCAAUUUUGAUCCUCUGUUUUAUUUAAAAUUUUUUAUUAAUAUUUUUAUUGUUAUUAUAUUAUAAAAUAUGAAUAAUAUUUUAUACGUGAUUUAUAUUUUUUAGUUUUUUUUUAAAAAAAAUUUAAACAAGAUGGACGAUCAAGUUGGAUAAAAAACUCAUGGUUGUGUUUAUU